UUCUUAGCUCGUUUUCCUUCUCUCUGCUCCAAGUGAUCACCGUUUGGAAACAGCGUCCUCUCGUGAUGUCCAUGACGGGAAGCCGGCUGUGUGUGGGCAUGCAGAGAGCAACAGCAGAGAAAGUGGCCUUUGUGAACGCCAACACUUCCUCAGUCUCUGUGCUGCAAUUCCUGUAGGUCAGCCAGUCAGCAGCAGCCGGAGCGGAGAGGGCUGAGUGGAGAGUCGGUGAACCGACAGAGGCAACCCAGGCUUCUGCUGAUCAAGUUUGUCUCAUCAGCUGCGUGGAACACAAAGUUUAAGUCGAGCAGGGCGAGAGAUAGAGAAGGUUAGCACUGUAGAAGAGACAAAAGGCCUUUCCACCGAGCCUGCUAUAACAGGUCCCACCGUGGACAUCUCUGGCACUAAUAAAUCCUGACUGUUUACCUACACAACAAGCAACCACGACCUGCCUCCAGAUCUGGCACAGCUCCACUCCUUUCCACUGGAGCCAGGCAAGGGACGUAAAGGACAUAGAAUAAAUAAUUUCCAGGUGAACAUCAUUCAAGCAUUUAUUCAACACAAUUGAUUGCACGUCUACUAUGCAGGUUAUUUAGAGGCCUGAAAGAACGGCUGUGAAUAAAACCUGUGUGGUCCCUCACUUUGAAAACUUACAGACCAGAUAGGAAUCAAACAUUCUGCCAACGAGAUGAGUGACCUGAGUGACGACCGGGUGCACUGGAAACUGGUGAGAGGAGGCCCCAAUCUUUUCUGAGAGUCAGAAAAACUUCCCUGAGGAAGUGACAUUGAACUUCAGGCCUAAUGGAAAAUCGAAGGAAGAGAGUAAAGAACCCAGGACAAGAACAGACUAUGUCAUAAGGAGACUAGAGAUGAAGCUAUGGAUUUUAUCCUAAGGAUGAUGAGAAACGAUUUGUGCUUCAGGCUCAGCUCUACCGCACACUACUUUCAAGAGGGUGGAGAGAGGUGAUUUGACCCUGGAAGUACUGAGAAGCUAAGGAUAGGUACGUAGGAGGUGUCAGCAAGAGAGCAGUCACAGAUGCUGUUAGUCUGAUGGCUCCCAUGGAUGUUGGCUGGUACAUGUGCUGUGCUGGAGGAACUAAAACGUCCUAAAGAGUCACAAGAAUGAAUAGUAAUCUGAGCCAGCAGCUUGGCUGCAACCUCAGGAGAGACCCCCCCAGCCCAAUCUACUCAGUUAGGCUGCUCCCAGAUUCCUGACCCCCAGGAACUCAGUGAAAUCAUCAAUUUUCUUGCUUUAACUACUGUUUGUUAUACAGUGUCUUAGUCCAUUUGGGCUGCUAUAAAAAGUGG